rnacentral:rRNA from 1 species
AUACGGAGGGUGCAAGCGUUACUCGGAAUCACGGGGCGUAAAGCGCGCGCAGGCGGCGAUUUAAGUUGGAUGUGAAAGCCUACGGCUCAACCGUAGAACUGCAUCCAAAACUAUUUAGCUAGAGUGUGGGAGAGGAAGAUGGAAUUAGUUGUGUAGGGGUAAAAUCCGUAGAGAUAACUAGGAAUACCAAAAGAGAAGGCAAUCUUCUGGAACACUACUGACGCUGAGGCGCGAAAGCGUGGGGAGCAAACGGGAUUAGAAACCCCAGUAGUCC